AUGUGCGUAUGUGUGCCGUGUGCAUCCGCGUGUUUGUGUAUCUGUGUGCGGGGUAAGCGAGGUGGGGAGCAUUGACCAUGCACAAAUAGAGAAGCAGCAGAUGGAUUCAUUGCAACUAGAGGCUGCGGUGCAUAGUUGGGAUAGUGAGGAAGUGCCAUCGAUAUCCUCGCGGCCAAGGACCUUCGACAUGUCUGGCAGCAUCACCGAAUGUGUGUCCCUAUUGAUUUCCAUGGAGUCCCCUUCUGCGUGCUCGGCCGGCAAGAGUGUCAGUUCGGGAAGGAAAGAUGCCAUGAAGCUAAACAGCCUACGGACACAAGCGACGCAACGCGGUCACCUGCGGACCAGGCUUCCUCGAAUCCCAGCCAUGAGAAGAUAUCGAGGCGGCUCUCUCUUCAAGGUUCAAAAAAAGAAAGGCUGCAUAGCAACAGCGACUACUCACCGAGUUUUGGAGUUUCCAUCAUUUUCUGUGCCAACGGAUGCGAAUGCCAGAAUGAAAGCAGAGGCACUUCAGAGAUUAACUGCUGCUAUUGAACAGUGCAAAAGCAGUAAGGAUUUUCGA